AGCGGUAGCACAGAGAGCUUGCUCUCGGGUGACGAGCGGCGGACGGGUGAGUAAUGUCUGGGAAACUGCCUGAUGAGGGGGAUAACUACUGGAAACGGUAGCUAAUACCGCAUAACGUCGCAAGACCAAAGAGGGGGACCUUCGGGCCUCUUGCCAUCAGAUGUGCCCAGAUGGGAUUAGCUAGUAGGUGGGGUAACGGCUCACCUAGGCGACGAUCCCUAGCUGGUCUGAGAGGAUGACCAGCCACACUGGAACUGAGACACGGUCCAGACUCCUACGGGAGGCAGCAGUGGGGAAUAUUGCACAAUGGGCGCAAGCCUGAUGCAGCCAUGCCGCGUGUAUGAAGAAGGCCUUCGGGUUGUAAAGUACUUUCAGCGAGGAGGAAGGCAUUGUGGUUAAUAACCACAGUGAUUGACGUUACUCGCAGAAGAAGCACCGGCUAACUCCGUG
rnacentral:rRNA from 1 species